rnacentral:rRNA from 1 species
AUACGUAGGGUGCAAGCGUUAAUCGGAAUUACUGGGCGUAAAGCGUGCGCAGGCGGUUUUGUAAGACAGAGGUGAAAUCCCCGGGCUCAACCUGGGAACUGCCUUUGUGACUGCAAGGCUAGAGUACGGCAGAGGGGGAUGGAAUUCCGCGUGUAGCAGUGAAAUGCGUAGAUAUGCGGAGGAACACCGAUGGCGAAGGCAAUCCCCUGGGCCUGUACUGACGCUCAUGCACGAAAGCGUGGGGAGCAAACAGGAUUAGAUACCCUGGUAGUCCACGCCCUAAACGAUGUCAACUGGUUGUUGGGUCUUCAUUGACUCAGUAACGAAGCUGACGCGUGAAGUUGACCGCCUGGGGAGUACGGCCGCAAGGUUGAAACUCAAAUGAAUUGACGGGG